CCCUUAGAUGUUCUGGGCCGCACGCGCGCUACACUGAUUCAUGCAACGAGUUUUGUCCUUGGCUGAAAGGCCUGGGUAAUCUUUGAACGUGAAUCGUGCUGGGGAUAGAUGAUUGCAAUUAUUCAUCUUCAACGAGGAAUUCCUAGUAAACGCAAGUCAUCAGCUCGCAUUGAUUACGUCCCUGCCCUUUGUACACACCGCCCGUCGCACCUACCGAUUGAAUGGUCCGGUGAAAUCUUCGGAUCUGAGAGAUGUUGGAUUAAUUUCUGACGCCUUUUGGAAAAGUCGCUUAAACCUUAUCAUUUAGAGGAAGGUGAAGUCGUAACA
rnacentral:rRNA from 1 species